rnacentral:rRNA from 1 species
AACGAACGCUGGCAGCAUGCCUAACACAUGCAAGUCGAACGAGGCCUUCGGGUCUAGUGGCGCACGGGUGCGUAACGCGUGGGAACCUGCCCUUAGGUUCGGAAUAACUCCCCGAAAGGGGUGCUAAUACCGGAUAAUGUCUUCGGACCAAAGAUUUAUCGCCUUUGGAUGGGCCCGCGUUGGAUUAGCUAGUUGGUAGGGUAAAAGCCUACCAAGGCGACGAUCCAUAGCUGGUCUGAGAGGAUGAUCAGCCACACUGGGACUGAGACACGGCCCAGACUCCUACGGGAGGCAGCAGUGGGGAAUAUUGGACAAUGGGCGAAAGCCUGAUCCAGCAAUGCCGCGUGAGUGAUGAAGGCCUUAGGGUUGUAAAGCUCUUUUACCCGGGAUGAUAAUGACAGUACCGGGAGAAUAAGCUCCGGCUAACUCCGUG